rnacentral:pre_miRNA from 1 species
UUAACUCGUAUUUGUAUGGAGUUGGAACGUUUGCCGCUAGGGGCGCUGUUCCAACUGCAUACAAAUAUGAGUUA